CCCUCACAGCAAAGCAAAGGUGGGUUCACAGCAGCACAUGGCUCUGACUCCUCUCCCUCCUCUUCCUCGUGCCUCCCCAGGGCCUGACUUUGUCUUCAGCCUCUACGACUCGCGUGGGCUGGGCUCGGUGGCACUGGAGCUGGUGCCACCCUUCAGCAUCAGCGGCUCGCUGGGCACCUCGGGCAGUGCCUACGAGCCCUUCCACAGCCAGAGGCCGUGAGGGGAGAGCUGGGCUGCUGAGCAGGCCUUGGUUUGUGUCUCCUUUCCUGCUGUCCCAGGCACAGAGGAUGGGGCUGGAGCCCUGGGUGCUCCUGCAGAGCUUCCCCUCUCUGCCUCUCACUCACAGCCCAGCACCAACAGAAAAAGCAACCAAAACUGCCCGGGGGGAAUUCCUCCGUUUUCACUUCUGUAAGAAACAGCCCCUGAAUUUGUUGGAUUUCAAUCCAAAUGGCCACGGUGCAGUUUCUGUUGCUGAAAAAUCUUCCCAGGAUCACAGAAGCCUUGGGGCUGGAAAAGACCUCUGGCCCAACCGCCCUGUGCCCAAAGUCACCUGGAGCAGGUGACACAGGAACUCACGCAGGUGGGUUUGGGACAUCUCCAGAGAGGGAAACUCCACCAAUUCCCUGGGCAUCUCCUCCACCUGCAGCUCCCUCACUGGGUCCCUGCAGCCACGAGUGCACAGGAGGUGCCUGGGCUGGUGCUUGGGAUGGAGGAAGAGGAUGCAGCUCUGUCCAGGAUUCCUCAGCAUCCUGCAGAAAACAUUCCCCACGGCUCAGAGACCUCCCAGCCUCCUGCACACCAGAGCCCUGGCACCAGGCUGGUCCUCAGGGAACCAGCUGAGGAGCAGCCCCAAAACUGGGUGAGUGCAUUGGUGCAACUGCAGAAAACACCGAGAGGAAAUGGGAAAUCUGUCUCAACCCUCGUCCUCCUCCUCCAUCCAGUACCUGCACCCACAUGGAUGGAAGUUGGUUCUCCACACUCCCAGUGCAAGGAAACACCUCAGAAAGCCCUUGUGGAAGUUCCUUGUGGAUUUUUGGUGCCAUUUGCCUUCGUUUUCAGCAGAACAAGGGGCUGUGAAGUUCCUGGAGCACAGGAACAGCCCUGGGGAGGAUCUGUGGCUACAGAGAGGGGCCCUGCUUGGCCAGGGGUGCUGGUGAGGCACGGUGGGGAGCCUUGGGACCAUUUCUUUGCGAGUUUCUCUCAGAAGAAAAAGGAAAAACUCACAAGAGCCACGUGGCAUAGGGAAACCAGUGAGGACAGAGCGGGAUUUCCAGGGAAAUUUCAGAAUUCAGAGGGACCAGCUGUGCUCUCGGCCACCGAAACUGAACCCUGUGGUCUGCGGCUUUCUCCUGGCUCAAAGGAGACCUGCUCAGGGGACUGCUCAGGGGAAGGGGAAAUGCAGCUGCUGGGGGCUGGGAGCCCUCGUUGUGAGCAGGACCCAGCAGAGCCCUGCGUGACGCAGGAUCCGCCCGUGGGGCCCGACGUCAGCGGCGUUCAAAAGAAAAACUAAAAAAAAGCGCCACGUUUUUGAUGACUGCAUUUUC